CCCUUAGACGUCCGGGGCCGCACGCGCGCUACACUGAAGGAAUCAGCGUGGCUUUCUCCCUGACCCGAAAGGGUUGGGAAACCCGUUGAAUCUCCUUCGUGAUAGGGAUUGGGGCUUGAAAUUGUUCCCCAUGAACGAGGAAUUCCCAGUAAGCGCGAGUCAUAAGCUCGCGUUGAUUACGUCCCUGCCCUUUGUACACACCGCCCGUCGCUACUACCGAUUGAACGGUUUAGUGAGGGCCUCGGAUUGGUCUCGGCCCGCUCUUUACCGGGCGGCGCCGUUGGUCGAGAAGACGCUCGAACUUGAUCGUUUAGAGGAAGUAAAAGUCGUAACA
rnacentral:rRNA from 1 species